rnacentral:lncRNA from 1 species
GGCACUUAUUUCCAUGUUAAUUGUUUCGGGGGGGUCUGUUUGGAACCCUAGGAAAUCACCCAAGUAAAGUCAUGAAAUUUGGGUAGUAUACCAGGUACAGUAUACAGUUUUCAUGGGGGAAUGGUAAAGGAACAGAAGCAUGCAUGUGCAGAAAGGGGACAGAGCAGCAGCAUUGUUUAAUGAUGUUUACUGUGUCACUUUUUCAAUCUGAGGGCCACAUGCCAGUGGUGGGUGGGGCCAGAGGAGAAAGAGGGCAAUUUUACUGUUGCAUUGUAGGCUAGUUUCUACACUCACACACACACACACACACACACACACACACACAGACGCCUCUCUAUCUGCCAACCAGACAAGCAAGAGCCACUAUCAAGCAAGGGUUCAAGGACACACACCAAAGACAGGCAAAAAUAGGGUGAGUAGUUCUGAGAGCCAUAUAGAGAGUCUUUCAGGGCCAGAUUCAGCUCCUGGGUUUGAGAUUUUUCCUGUACGCUUUAUAGGAUAAAACCAGAACCUUGAAUUAAGUAUAUUUCCUUUCCCUGAGAUCCUGGUGAGCUGUGCAGUUAAGAAACCGAGGUUAAGGGGAAGAAGAACAGAACAGAUAGAAUAAAGGACGGUGUGAUAUGAAAGUCCAGGCAUCAUUGCACGAAAUGGCAUUCCCAUACACUUGUCAGGGCUCAGAAGUUUUAUUACCAAGGAAUUUCACUUCUGCCUCUUAUUCUUAACACACUGCCCAGCGCUGGGCCUGAGAGGAUUUGCUGAUCUAAUAUAGAUAGCGAUUUUGUAGGUUUGUUGAGAUUUAUAUAGACAGCACCUUGGGAUCAGGAAUUACAUUUUAAAAUGUAAUAAAAUGCUCCUUGGCAUUUUUUUUUCUAAAAAAAAACUUACAAAUACCCGUACUUAAAAAAGUAAACAUCAAAUAAUCUCUGAUAUCUUUCAAGAAAAUGUUGACAUAGCUCAAGGAGCUUCAUCCAGAUCCCCGAGUCGUUUGCUAGAGUCAACUUAAUAAACUCAUUUUCUUCAUCCUGCCAUGAAGUUUCCUAUCCCUAGGAAGAUGGAAAGGUAAACCAAAGAUUGUUUUCUUUUAUACAUGUAUUUAUUUAUGUGUAGAUCGAUAGACAGGUAGAUUAUUUUUUUACAUGUACUGUAUGUAUAUAUGUAUGUAUGUGUGUUUGUACAGUAUGUAUGUAUGUAUGUUUGUACUGUAUGUAUAUAUAUAUUUCUUCCACACAAUUCACCAAAUCCUCAGCCAUGGUAGGGGCUACUCCACUACAGCAAAUGGGCACUUUGCCUGCAAAUGUGGUGUGCAAAUUUCGGGGAAGGACUGUAGCUCAGUGGUAGAACAUCUGCUUUACGUGCAGAAGGUCUCAGGUUCAUUCCCCAGGUAGACCCCUGACUGAAACUCUGAAGAAUAGCUGUUAGUGAGUGUCAACAAUACUGAACAUAUAUGGAUCAAUGAUCUGGCUCUUAGGCAGCUUUCCGUGUUCCUAUGGAUUAUUAUUAUCCUCCAUAUCAUUACUAAUAUAGUGUACCUCUUCAGAAUGGGUCAUCUCCUUGUCCUCCACCAUCUUCUGCAACUCUAGAACUGGUGGAGGACAACUAUCUUAGACUACAUAUCCCAUUAGCCCCCAAAUUCCUUCAGAACUCUUCAGAUGACUUGCCUGAGAGCCAAAGUACAUGAGGUGAAGGAGGAGGCUCCUGAUUUUGCUUUUCAGUAAAAUACACCUUUAGGGGUGGGGAGAGACUGCAAAAUCUGAGCUUGCUUCAAGCUGAGGUGAAGAAUUGUGAACUGGAAAAGUUCACAUCCUGAACUCACCCGAUGUCUCCAUCACUAGUCAACAUCUACUUUGCCUUGAACUUUUUCCUUUAGGCAAAAUUCAAGGCCAACUCUAGUACAAGAGAAUUACAAGUUUUGACCUAUGAGUGGAAAAAGUGAUUGUUGUCUUCCAGCCAUAAGCCCUGGAAACCUAGAAGUAAUAACAGCAACCGUUGCUUUCAUAAAAUGAAUGGAUAAAUAGGUGGAUUGUUAGAUGAUUAUUAUGAUUAUGAUGAUAAUGAUGAUGAUGAUGAUUAUUUCUUACCUCCCAUUCCCUGAAAGUUACCAGGGUGGAUAACAGCAAUGUAAAAAUACAACAUUAAAGUAAAAACUACUUAAAUAAGAUGCCAGACAUAGCACUGUGGGGAAGGAAUGCCCUCUCCCAGGCCAUUAUACCCCAAACUUUUGAGGGUGGUGGAACUACCAGGAAGGUUUCCUAAACAUAGCUAUGGCUGUAUAAUCUAUAUACCACCCCUCAUUUUAAAAAAAAUCACAGGAUUUUUAAUUUUAAUUAAUUUACCUUUUUUGCUGGCCUUAUCACAAUUCUAUUUGUUCUGCUCUGACCUUCAUCAGAUGUCUCACCUGAGCAGGACUCUCCAAAUCCGAUUCAGUGUAACUCUAAGCACAGUCUUCUCAUUUUGUCUUCUCCAACAAACUUGCCAGAGCAACAUUGGUUUUCUUGCUCCUGCCUGUCAUGAAAGCAUUGAAUCCAGACCAGCAAGUCAGGGGGAGCGAGGAAGCAUUAUAGAGAGCCCUCUUUGCAUAGCAACUUUGCACACUACCCAGGUCCAGGUGACAGCAGAUAGGUUCCACUCAUCAAUAGUAUAUGAACAGCUAAUUAAUCAUUAACCAAGGCUUUAAUAAAUGGUUACUCACUUGUUUGCCAAUGUGGAACAAAGAACCAGUUGCGUGUGGGAUGAUCACAUGACAUUCUACAAAGGCAACUUCAGAUGAAGAUGAUGCUGAUGAUGUGCAGGCUACUUUUCAGUAGGGAAGUUCAUCAUUCUAUGUGUCCCCUGAAUAAUGAGGGUGAUUUGGGGAAGACUCCCAUAUUCUCAAGUCAGAUCAUGCCAUUAAAAAAGUGUCUAGACCAGAAAAUCUUAAAAGCAGUUAUUUUGCCUCUGAUUUUCCAAAAAGCUAAAAACACAGCAAGGGAUGAGUGUCAAUUUUUUUGUUAACAUCUCAUUUUUCCAGCCUUAAGUUCAGUUCUUCAUAUUUCAAUGACAAAAAUUUUUUAAGUCUCUCUGUAAAUUCAUCUGCAUUUUAGUGUGAAUUUUACCUAACAUGCACAUUUUUGCAAAGCAAUCCCCCCUUUUGUAUGUUAUUUUCACUAACAUAUGCAUUUUUAUGGGCACUUUACCAUCAUAUAGGCAUACAUAUAGACACUUUACCAUAGUAUAGGAAUACUAUUACCUGGCUGGAAAAUUAUUACCUGGCACUGCAAAAUUCAGAGAAAUGCAAACGUCAACAGAUAACUUUUUUGUUCUUGUUGUUCUCCUAGUGUUUCAGAAAGUGUGGGUUGGGCAGGUUCUCUUUUAAAUAUGAACUGAAUCAAAUAUCUCCCCCAUCCCUACACACAACUUUCCCACCCUUUCUCUUUUCAUACCUUGAGAAAUGAAAACCAUAUUGACUCAAGAAACACCCAGAGCUUGAGAGGCGAGGGGUGCAGAUGAGAGGGAGGUGAUGGACAAACAGAGGAGGGGAUAUUUUGCUUUGGCUAACAAGUCUAGCUUUUAAUCACAAUAAAUUAUUUCCCCGGUGCACUCCCAUCAUAGUCAUUUGUGGAUGGAAUGAACAAAGUAGUUCCUUCAUGUGAGUUGCAAUUCUCCUCCAAGUCUUGGCUGAGAAAGCAAGGCAUAAGUGGUGGUAAACAAAGCAAAACGGGAAGAAAAUUAUUGUUGUUGUCUUACCCACCCUUCACCACAAGGUCUUGAGCCGGAUUGCAACAAUUUAAAAAUAGCAGAUAGCCAUUGCACUACAGAAGGCACAGUUUAUUGUGUGGCCAGCAACCUGCUUAUGCAUUCUCUUGCUCAACAACUGCCUGCUGGUGGAAAACUUUUUGCCAGCAGAAGAGGAAUGCUGAAAGUAAUUUAGGAUAGCCUUGAGGACUAGACACUUGCUGGAUAUCCAGCAUGCCCUCUGUUCUGCACCAAUUCCCAGACACCGCCCAUAAACUCACAUCAUGGCCUCUGGCUAUAUACUGUCCUGAUAUACUUUGCUUCAUAGUUUUGCAAAAUAAUAAUAAAAAAGGUUAGUGGAAAUGAAACUAGAGCUCUCCUGCUCAAGAGCCAAUUUGCCAGGACAGCCUGGGAAUCCCCUUGGAAAGGCGGGGGGUUUGAAAGAUUUUAUGCUUGCUCACUCCAAUUCCACUGACUUAAAGGAUUAAGGGGUUGAAGAAAAGAAGAAGCAGGAAACUGAAGUUGACAUGAAUGCCGCACAACUGUUGAAGUGUAUACUCUCCUCCCUCUAGCUUUCCCCUUUUCUUUCCCAGUUAAUGAAUAACUCUGGAUGUUGUAACUUAUCUUGCUUGUACUUGGGGGGAAAUGCACUUGGGCAGUAUCCCUUAAUUGGUGUCUUAAGCAUGUCAGACAUAUCUGUCUUAUCACAAAGCUUGUAAAAAAAAAAUGAAGAGCAGGGCUCCCCCAGAUGUAGGGGUGGACUGCUUUGACUUGAGAUUAAAUACUUUGUAGAGAUCAGGCCAUGCUCUCUCUCUCUGACACACACACACACACACACACACACACACACACACACACUUUCCAUUUAUUCUGGGAAAGUUUGCCCUACCAAGCAAUGCAGAAAAACAAAUCACUUUUCUUCCAAACAGAAAAAGGAAUGGAUGCUAAUUCUUCUACUGAGCUUGAGUUCUAAGUGCAGCCUAGAAAACCCUCUUGGCAUUGGCCAGCUGACAGCUGUUUUUCUUAGGGCCUGCCAGAAGGGGUCGCUGCGGUGCACAGAUUUCAAAGCUAGAUACGUGAAGGGGAAGAGGAAGAUGCUUUGGAAACAGAACUAAAGGAGAGAGAUAUUUGGUAAGCUUCCCACCUCCCCUUCUUUAGAAAUGUGAUGUUUGGCUAAAGUCUAAGCGGAAGUCCUUCCAUUGUUGCCACAGCCUUUUUGUGAGUCUAAUCCCUCAUGCAGGACAUUCGAUCCUCAAGCCCAUGCUAUUACCCCACAGUGUAUUAUGGAUGGCAAGCUAGCUCGGGGAUUAGAAACACAUAAAAUGCUCAGAAAAACAUUUGUUGAGAUUUCCCAUGCACACUGAUGCAGAUGGACAGUUAGAUUCCACUGCUGGAAUUCAAAGCCGUCCAUUGCCACAGUGUGCAGCGAUGACUACGGGGAACAGAGGUGUUUGCAAAAGUAACAUUUUCACAAUUAAUAAUGGCCUCUUCCAUUAAUUAACUCUUUCAAGGGUGUGCAUCAAACUAAGUUAUACUCAGAGUAGACCCACUCAAAUCAAUACACUUCAAUUCAUUGUGCCCAUUAAUUUCAAUGGGUUUACUCUGGGUAGGUCUAGCAGAUAUAACCCACUGGAUCCCCUUCAGGUGGGUAAAGCUGCUUCUACACAUUGCUCCUGAGGGCUUGCAAACAGGCAAAGGAUAUACUUUAUUCAAGAGCUUAUUGAAGUAAAUGAGCAAAGAACUGGGGUUUGAGAGUUGAAAUCAAACCCCAGUUCUUUGCUCACACAUUUCUCUCCUGCCUCCAUCCCUAAAGGUACUGUACGGAUUCUUCAGAGCCCUAUCUUGCCUCAGACUUCUGUCAUCUCUGCCUUUCCCCUCAAAUUUCUUAUAUAUCCCUUUUGCAUCUCAAUUCAUUGUCUACACAGUACCCUUCCUUCUGCACCUAAGUUUCUGGACUCCUUGUCCUUCAAAUCCCCUACUUCCUGAGAACUUCUCCUGUCCUUGGCCUGCUCCACAAAUCUACUCCUGUUCCUGUGGCCUCUGUGAUUUUGUUAAAUCCCAGCCAAACCAACAAGUUUUCCUUCCUAUGAUAAUCCUGGACUGUAAACAUUCCAGAAAACUUACUGUCUUUCCUGUGGAGCUGGAAAGCUUGUGAACUCUUAUGCCACUCCACCAGAUCAGCCAAUCUGAGGAUUCAUUGCCACAAUAGUGCAGAUUUCCUGUUGAGGGCAUUGCUGUUUAGGCAUGGGGCUUGUCCAUUCCUGUAGGUCUUUGUCAUACUUCUUUAGGAUCUUGCUUCCUUGUUUGUUCUAGCAGUAAUCAAAAGAGGAAUCACCCUUUCCUCCACUCAAGUGACCCGUGUUUCUCACUGAUGAAAAUGCUUCCAUUCACUUGCCUUAGAACAACUUAUAAUACACAUUUUACAGAUGAGGAACUGAAUCUGGGGGGUGUUGUCCUGAUGCUGAGCUAAGAUGUGAAGCCAAAUUUAUUUAUUUAUUUAUUUAUUUAUUUAUUUAUUUAUUUACGGCUAUUAGCCCAUAAAGUAUGUACAAACAUAAAAGCACAGAGGCAUAAAGACUAAUAUAUUCGGCACCAGAAGGUGAACACCAUGAUGCAGGGGUGGGUCAUUGAGCAGAGCCAGAUAACAGCUUGGGGCCCGGAGAGCUCCAAGGGACGGAUCCCAAUAUUUGGGGCAGAGCCACACCAUCCAUUUAAGGCCCACCCAAAGCACAUUUAAAGCAUAUUACUUUCUCCAAAGAAUCCUAGGAACUGUAGAUUGUUAAAGGUACUGUGAAUUGCUGUUCUGUGAGGGGGGAACUACAGUUCCCAGAAUUCUUUGGAGAAGUCAUGUGCUUUAAAUAUGUGUCGGAUGGGCUUUCAGUGUAUGGGGUGGAUCUGCCCAUGGUCACCAGCCACACAUAUGAUCCUUAGGUACCAUUUUCUCUUGUUUUUAUUUCUAUGUAUAACUACAUAUACACAAAGUUUAGAGCUCAGCCUCCCCUAAAUAAAGAAAAAAAAUUCAAAAAAAUUCUGAGAAACCUUUUGAGAUCUCUCAUUUACCCCAUUCCAAAAGAAAGGCCACACUGCAGAGUUUUCUCAGAAUAUAUCACACAAUUUUUGUAAUGGACUCCAUCUCCCCCCUGCCACAUAUGUGCACAAUGUCCUCCAAAAAAAGCUAAAUCUUAGAGAUUGCAGAUGAUGCACAAUUGUUGUCAGGCAUUAGUAGCAAAAAAAGAAAACCUGGCAGGGGGUAGGAACUGUGCUCUUGCCACAGUUGAGGAAACUAUUGGAGAAACUUCUUGAGAAUUUAUCCUGUCCCUGGAGAAAUUUGAUGAAAUGCUCCCCCUGCUCACCAUUUCUCUGCCUUCAAAUAGGAUGGAGAGUUUUGAUCGGGCCAUUUGCACACAGCUCCUGUUUAUUUGCACACAUUAUGAAUCACUUUUUCGAAUGAGCCUUAAUCUUCUCCAUUAGUUCCAUCAAGGAAAAGCAUCAUCCUUCUCAAAAGAGGCAUUACACAAAAACGAGAAGCCUGUCAGCCCGACAAUAAGCACAUUUAUUCAAAAGUCGGUCCUUCUCCUUUCAAUGGACUUUUCUGGUAAAAUGUGCUUAGGUUGGCAGUCUAUCCUUGCAAUUCACUUUGCGCAGCAUGGAAUUUGACUCCAACCAUUUGUGCAGAAAAGGCAAUGAGGCAGGACUAAUCUUACCAACUAAGAUAGUUACCGUCCCGUAAAAACUAAGAUCUCAAAGAGGGAGAUAAGUUGGCUCUCCAAUUAAUCUGGCCACCAAGGGUGUUUCAUUGAGAAGUAAUUUUUAAAAAAACUUCCUUACAUUUGGUAGAUCAUUUAGUACAUUCAGAACAAGCUUCAGAUUCCCAGUCAGAAGCCACCUCAAAGCCUUCAUAGAGAUGGAUUUGUGUCAUAAUUAUACCAUAGCUUUGAAAGAACUAUACCAUAUUGAAGAGAAGAUGACUAAGAUUCAAUAUUGGACAGACAUGAAUGAAUGAUUUCAUGGAAACUACUGAACAGAGUCAACAUUUAGAAAUCAACAUGCCAGAAAAUAUUUAAUCCCAUGGUGUUUAAUAAAUAUGUGAUAAUCAGGCAGGGAAAUUGACCUCAUUGAACCCCACCCAUCAUAAUAUUUCCCUCUAAACCAUGAUGGGAAAUGGUGCAGAGUAGCUUUUGUCUCACUACAUCAGGAACAUAGGAAGCUGCCUUAUAUUGAGUUAGACCAUUGGCCAAUCUAGCUCAGUACAGUGGUACCUCGGGUUACAUACGCUUCAGGUUACAGACUCCCCUAACCCAGAAAUUGUACCUCGGGUUAAGAACUUUGCCUCAGGAUGAGAACAGAAAUUGUGGUCAUGCGGUGCGGCGGCAGCAGGAGGCCCCAUUAGCUAAAGUGGUCUUCAGGUUAAGAACUGCUUCAGGUUAAGAACAGACCUCCGGAACGAAUUAAAUACUUAACCCGAGGUACCACUGUAUUGCCUAGGUCAGGGGUCAGCAAACGUUUUCAGCAGGGAGCUGGCCUACUGUCCCUCAGACCUUGUGUGGGGCCAGACUAUAUUUUUUGGGGGAAAUGAACAAAUUCCUAUGCCCCACAAAAAAUCCAGAGAUGCAUUUUAAAUAAAAGGACACAUUCUACUCAUGUAAAAACACAGUGAUUCCCGGACCGUCCACGGGCCAGAUUUAGAAGGCGAUUGGGCUGGAUCCAGCCCCCAGGCCUUUGUUUGCCUACCCAUGGCCUAGGUUGACUGGCAGUGGCUCUCCUGAAUUUCAGACAGGGUUCUCUCGCAACCCCACCUGGAGAUGCCGGGGACCGAACCAGGGGAAAUGUUAUAGCUGGUGUUAUAUUUCCCAUUACAGAGCACGGUAGAACACAGAGCAUCGUUUUAUUCAGAGCAGUCGAGGAGCUGAAUCACAAACUGAAGCAGAGAAUGCACAGAGCGGCUCACAAACAGACCAGAAUAUUCAUACACAGAGAGAUUCAUGGUGAAUCUUGGGGUCUGUGCACACUCCUCAUAUAAACAGCUCUUGGACAUUUGUCAUUUGGGGCAGGCAGGAGAUUUUGGAUGCCCUCCUAAUAUUUUUUCUGCAGAAGUUAGGAUGUUUCAUUCGGGAAAAUACUCUUCUGUUCUCCCUGAAUAUAGACUGAUAUCCAAUGUAUAUGUUAUUUUUAUAAUAUAAAUAAUAUCAUGCUCAGCAUACCGCACUUGCUGACCAUCGUACAAUUUUUUUUACAAUCAGGAGAAAGGCUGUUUGUGCAUUGUUAUUGAUAUCCAAAAUUGUGCCAAGCAUCAUGGUAUUGCUAGAAUGAAGACCCUUUCUCCCUUUCCUCCUCCCCCCUCUCUCUCUCUGUGUGUGUGUGUGAAGGCUUCCUUUAAUAGCUCUGAAUUGUGGGCAAAGCAUAAAUAUGGCUUUUCUGUGGCUAGGACUAUCACCCAUCUUAUUUAUGACUGACCUGGUUGGGUACCGGUGACCUUGGGGAGUUUAAUUGAGGCUGGGAUUAUAUGACACAGCUUGAAGCCACCUGAAUUUAAAGGGUGCGACACAUAUGCUCUCAUUUCGAUUCUCCUGUGUGAAUGGCACCACUGUUCUUAUCUCUUGGAAUAAUGUCUAAAUAUGUAAGCCAUAUGACAGUAAAAUGGCCUCCCAGUGCCAUUGGAAUCCUGCUGCCUUCCCCAGCAAUUUCCCCCCUUCUUAUAUCAUUUUUUUUACAGCCAACUCUUAACUUUUUUAUGAAUGUGAUUUUGGCAAAGAAUUGAGCUUGUAAAAUAUAGGUGGGGGGGAGGAGGGGGGAGAUACAUGGACACAAUGUACUUAGCUCUCUGUAUUGAGAUUGUAUUUAACAUCCCUUUAAUUAAAUUGUUAACAUGCCUGAUGAAUGUCCCUUCCUUUCACCCUGCCCAUUUCACUGAAAAGUAAUAAAUUCUUAAAGUCACUUAAUGCAACUGAAUAUUUUUUUUUUGUUGGGGGGUGAGAUUGAGAAAGCAGGGAAGGCUCAUAAGAAAAAAGGGUAGAAUAAAGCGGAAUGGCUGAGAUAUCAGCUAGCCAGUGUGAUAUUUUCUCACUGGUGGCUGUCCCAAGAUAGAUAUAAACAGCUCUACUUAAGCUUGCCUGAAUUUGCAGGAUAAAAAGAGAACACCAUUGCUGUUGUUUUAUGACACAGACAAUUGCCACUAGACACUGAACAGAUGAUCUUCAACUUAUAUCAUUUACAUUCUCAGUUGAUCUUCUUCUAACCAGAGUCCUCAAUGGGCUUAUAUAUUUUUUCCCUUGCAGCCAAAACCAGCACCAGAAAUCAGUGGAGUCAAGGAACUGCAAGGCCCAUAACCGUUAAGAGCCUUAACUACCGAAGCUGAUCAUCACCAUAAGGGAUAGGGGAGAUAUUUUGUGCAGUCCACAUAUUAAUGCAGACUUAUUUAAUUCACACUCCCCUCACAAAAAAAGUGAAUUAAAAUGCUAUCCUUUCAAA